AGAAUCAACGCUGGCGGCGUGCCUAACACAUGCAAGUCGAACGAGAAAGUGGAGCAAUCCAUGAGUAAAGUGGCGACCGGGUGAGUAACACGUGACCAAUCUACCCUUGAGUGGGGGAUAACCUCGGGAAACCGGGACUAAUACCGCAUAAUAUCUUCGGAACGGAAGUACUGAAGAUCAAAGGAGCAAUUCGCUUAAGGAGGAGGUCGCGGCUGAUUAGCUAGUUGGCGGGGUAAUGGCCCACCAAGGCGAUGAUCGGUA
rnacentral:rRNA from 1 species